rnacentral:rRNA from 1 species
GACGUAGGGUGCGAGCGUUGUCCGGAUUUAUUGGGCGUAAAGAGCUCGUAGGCGGCUCGUCGCGUCAGCUGUGAAAACCCGCGGCUUAACCGUGGGCUUGCAGCUGAUACGGGCGGGCUAGAGUUCGGUAGGGGAGGACUGGAAUUCCUGGUGUAGCGGUGAAAUGCGCAGAUAUCAGGAGGAACACCGGUGGCGAAGGCGGGUCUCUGGGCCGAUACUGACGCUGAGGAGCGAAAGCGUGGGGAGCGAACAGG